rnacentral:snRNA from 1 species
UGAUGUGAGGAUGAUCUGGUUGUGACUCUGUCGCCCCACCUGCUGGCAGGGUUGACGUGGCUGAUCUUGCUAGGCCAAUAUCCUAGUCUUUCCUCAUUGCUCCAUGCACAUUCCUCCCAAAGCUGCAUGCUCAAUUGAAGGGAAUGACCAGCCUGACAUGGAAGAACAUUUUUUUUUUCACAAAGUUAAUGAGUAGCUGCAUUCCACUGCAAAAACUUGGAAAUGAGCUCUCCAGAAAAUAGGAAUAGAAAGACUUUUUCUCAAUCUGGUAAAAGACAUGU